rnacentral:rRNA from 1 species
UAGGGGGCAAGCGUUAUCCGGAUUUACUGGGUGUAAAGGGAGCGCAGGCGGUCUUGCAAGUCUGAUGUGAAAGCCCGCGGCUCAACUGCGGGACUGCAUUGGAAACUGUAGGACUUGAGUGUCGGAGGGGCAAGUGGAAUUCCUAGUGUAGCGGUGAAAUGCGUAGAUAUUAGGAGGAACACCAGUGGCGAAGGCGGCUUGCUGGACGACAACUGACGCUGAGGCUCGAAAGCGUGGGGAGCAAAC